UGGGGAAUAUUGCACAAUGGGCGCAAGCCUGAUGCAGCCAUGCCGCGUGUGUGAAGAAGGCCUUCGGGUUGUAAAGCACUUUCAGCGGGGAGGAAGGCGGUGAGGUUAAUAACCUUGGCGAUUGACGUUACCCGCAGAAGAAGCACCGGCUAACUCCGUGCCAGCAGCCGCGGUAAUACGGAGGGUGCAAGCGUUAAUCGGAAUUACUGGGCGUAAAGCGCACGCAGGCGGUCUGUCAAGUCGGAUGUGAAAUCCCCGGGCUCAACCUGGGAACUGCAUUCGAAACUGGCAGGCUAGAGUCUUGUAGAGGGGGGUAGAAUUCCAGGUGUAGCGGUGAAAUGCGUAGAGAUCUGGAGGAAUACCGGUGGCGAAGGCGGCCCCCUGGACAAAGACUGACGCUCAGGUGCGAAAGCGUGGGGAGCAAACAGG
rnacentral:rRNA from 1 species